UAGGGAAUCUUCCACAAUGGACGCAAGUCUGAUGGAGCAACGCCGCGUGAGUGAAGAAGGUCUUCGGAUCGUAAAACUCUGUUGUUAGAGAAGAACACGAGUGAGAGUAACUGUUCAUUCGAUGACGGUAUCUAACCAGCAAGUCACGGCUAACUACGUGCCAGCAGCCGCGGUAAUACGUAGGUGGCAAGCGUUGUCCGGAUUUAUUGGGCGUAAAGGGAACGCAGGCGGUCUUUUAAGUCUGAUGUGAAAGCCUUCGGCUUAACCGGAGAAGUGCAUCGGAAACUGGAUAACUUGAGUGCAGAAGAGGGUAGUGGAACUCCAUGUGUAGCGGUGGAAUGCGUAGAUAUAUGGAAGAACACCAGUGGCGAAGGCGGCUACCUGGUCUGCAACUGACGCUGAGACUCGAAAGCAUGGGUAGCGAACAGGAUUAGAUACCCUGGUAGUCCAUGCCGUAAACGAUGGGUGCUAGGUGUUGGAGGGUUUCCGCCCUUCAGUGCCGGAGCUAACGCAUUAAGCACUCCGCCUGGGGAGUACGACCGCAAGGUUG
rnacentral:rRNA from 1 species